rnacentral:rRNA from 1 species
AGAGUUUGAUCCUGGCUCAGGAUGAACGCUAGCUACAGGCUUAACACAUGCAAGUCGAGGGGAAACGACAUCGAAAGCUUGCUUUUGAUGGACGUCGACCGGCGCACGGGUGAGUAACGCGUAUCCAACCUGCCCACCACUUGGGGAUAACCUUGCGAAAGUAAGACUAAUACCCAAUGACGUCUCUAGAAGACAUCUGAAAGGGAUUAAAGAUUUAUCGGUGAUGGAUGGGGAUGCGUCUGAUUAGCUUGUUGGCGGGGUAACGGCCACCAAGGCUACGAUCAGUAGGGGUUCUGAGAGGAGGGUCCCCCACAUUGGAACUGAGACACGGUCCAAACUCCUACGGGAGGGA